rnacentral:rRNA from 1 species
GACGAACGCUGGCGGCGUGCUUAACACAUGCAAGUCGAACGGAAAGGCCCUGCUUUUGUGGGGUGCUCGAGUGGCGAACGGGUGAGUAACACGUGAGUAACCUGCCCUUGACUUUGGGAUAACUUCAGGAAACUGGGGCUAAUACCGGAUAGGAGCUCCUGCUGCAUGGUGGGGGUUGGAAAGUUUCGGCGGUUGGGGAUGGACUCGCGGCUUAUCAGCUUGUUGGUGGGGUAGUGGCUUACCAAGGCUUUGACGGGUAGCCGGCCUGAGAGGGGGACCGGCCACAUUGGGACUGAGAUACGGCCCAGACUCCUACGGGAGGCAGCAGUGGGGAAUAUUGCACAAUGGGCGGAAGCCUGAUGCAGCAACGCCGCGUGCGGGAUGACGGCCCUCGGGUUGUAAACCGCUUUCGCCUGUGACGAAGCGUGAGUGACGGUAAUGGGUAAAGAAGCACCGGCUAACUACGUG